UGGGGAAUCUUGGACAAUGGGCGCAAGCCUGAUCCAGCCAUGCCGCGUGGAUGAUGAAGGCCUUAGGGUUGUAAAAUCCUUUCGCCGAGGACGAUAAUGACGGUACUCGGAGAAGAAGCUCCGGCUAACUUCGUGCCAGCAGCCGCGGUAAUACGUAGGGACCAAGCGUUGUUCGGAUUUACUGGGCGUAAAGGGCGCGUAGGCGGCAAUUCAAGUCAUCUGUGAAAUCUCCGGGCUUAACUCGGAACGGUCAGAUGAUACUGCUUUGCUAGAGUGCAGAAGGGGCAAUCGGAAUUCUUGGUGUAGCGGUGAAAUGCGUAGAUAUCAAGAGGAACACCUGAGGUGAAGACGGGUUGCUGGGCUGACACUGACGCUGAGGCGCGAAAGCCAGGGGAGCAAACGGGAUUAGAUACCCCAGUAGUCCCUGAGCGGGCUGGCAAGGCGCAU
rnacentral:rRNA from 1 species